GAUGACCGCUGGCUGCGUGCCUAAUACAUGCAAGUCGAGCGAAGCGGGGACGGGUGAGUAACACGUGGAUAACCUCCUAUAAGACUGGGCUAACUUCGGGAAACCGGAGCUAAACCGGUUACUUAUAGAUGGAUCCGCGCUGCAUUAGCUAGUUGGUAAGGUAACGGCUUACCAAGGCAACGAUGCAUCGCCGACCUGAGAGGUGGACCGGCCACACGUGAACUGACACACUGUCCAGCCUCCGACGGGAGUGAGCAGUUGGGAAUCUUGCGCAAGGGGCGAAAGGCGGAGGUCGCAACGCCGCGUGAGUGAUGAAUGUCGUCGGAGCGUAAAACGCGGUUAUCAGGGAUGCGGUACCUAACCAGGAAGCGACGUCUAACUAAGGGCCAGCAGCCGCGGUAAUAC
rnacentral:rRNA from 1 species